rnacentral:rRNA from 1 species
GACGAACGCUGGCGGCGUGCUUAACACAUGCAAGUCGAACGGAAAGGCCCUGCUUGCCGGGUACUCGAGUGGCGAACGGGUGAGUAACACGUGGGUGAUCUGCCCUGCACUUCGGGAUAAGCCUGGGAAACUGGGUCUAAUACCGGAUAGGAGCCAUUUUUAGUGUGAUGGUUGGAAAGUUUUUUCGGUGUAGGAUGAGCUCGCAGCCUAUCAGCUUGUUGGUGGGGUAAUGGCCUACCAAGGCGGCGACGGGUAGCCGGCCUGAGAGGGUGGACGGCCACAUUGGGACUGAGAUACGGCCCAGACUCCUACGGGAGGCAGCAGUGGGGAAUAUUGCACAAGGGGCGCAAGCCUGAUGCAGCGACGCCGCGGGGGGGAUGACGGCCUUCGGGUUGUAAACGCCUUUCGCUAGGGACGAAGCUUUUUGUGACGGUACCUAGAGAAGAAGCACCGGCUAACUACGUG